AAAACCAGAAGAAUAAGGCGGCGGUCGCGGGGAUGUUCAGACUCCAACAGAUGUUGGAGAAUCCUCUCAGAUAUACAAAGAAAGCUGCCUGCAUCUGCGACAGCGACACCCCACCAUGCAGCAACACUUCGCUCAUCAGUGGAGGAAUGGGCAGCAUUGAGAAGUGUCUGAAGUAUAGGUGGGGAAUGGCUUGGAACCCGGCUGGAGGCAGAUUCGCUGGCUGAUAUUGCGAUCCCGAGAAUCGCAGGUGCCCAGAAAUGCGAAUCCCGCGUAGAAUCUCACGGGCUUCAAGCGCAGAAGUU
rnacentral:lncRNA from 1 species